UGAGGAAUAUUGGACAAUGGGUGCAAGCCUGAUCCAGCCAUCCCGCGUGAAGGAUUAAGGACCUAUGGUUUGUAAACUUCUUUUGUACAGGGAUAAACCUAUCUACGUGUAGAUAGCUGAAGGUACUGUACGAAUAAGCACCGGCUAACUCCGUGCCAGCAGCCGCGGUAAUACGGAGGGUGCAAGCGUUAUCCGGAUUUAUUGGGUUUAAAGGGUCCGUAGGCGGAUCUAUAAGUCAGUGGUGAAAGCCGACAGCUUAACUGUCGAACUGCCGUUGAUACUGUAGGUCUUGAGUAAAUUUGAAGUGGCUGGAAUAAGUAGUGUAGCGGUGAAAUGCAUAGAUAUUACUUAGAACACCAAUUGCGAAGGCAGGUCACUAAGAUUUAACUGACGCUGAUGGACGAAAGCGUGGGGAGCGAACAGG
rnacentral:rRNA from 1 species